rnacentral:tRNA from 1 species
GCCGAGCAGGUGGCGAGCUGUAAACUCGUUUACGGGGCACUGCCCCCCCAACCA